UACGUAGGGGGCAAGCGUUAUCCGGAAUGAUUGGGCGUAAAGAGCGUGUAGGCGGCCCGAUAAGUCCGCUGUGAAAGUCCAGGGCUCAACCCUGGAAUGCCAGUGGAAACUGUCGGGCUGGAGUCCGGAAGAGGCGAGUGGAAUUCCUGGUGUAGCGGUGAAAUGCGCAGAUAUCAGGAGGAACACCAAUGGCGAAGGCAGCUCGCUGGGACGGUACUGACGCUGAGACGCGAAAGCGUGGGGAGCAAACAGG
rnacentral:rRNA from 1 species